GACGGGGGAUGCAAGUGUUAUCCGGAAUCACUGGGCGUAAAGCGUCUGCAGGUGGUUUCCUAAGUCCACUGUUAAACCUUGAGGCUCAACCUCAAAUCUGCAUUGGAAACUAGGAGACUUGGGUAUAGUAGGGGUAGAGGGAAUUUCCAGUGGAGCGGUGAAAUGCGUAGAUAUUGGAAAGAACACCGAUGGCGAAGGCACUCUACUGGGCUAUUACUGACACUCAGAGACGAAAGCUAGGGGAGCAAAUGGG
rnacentral:rRNA from 1 species